ACAACAACAUACUUCUAGAAACUACAUCUUCAUAAAGGAAUAUUUGGUUCUUAAGGAAAAGCAUAAUUGGAAGAUUGCCAAAUACAGCUCAUAGAACCAAUAAUAAAUUCUAAAAUCAAAGAAUCAACAGCAAACAGGCUCUGAGGAUUCAAUCGAAGGAGGCAAGGUUUGCCUGGCCUCCAAACCUCAAUUCACCUAGAGAAUUUUUAGGUGUUUAAGUGUUUGUAUGUGAAGCUUUCAAACAAAAU
rnacentral:lncRNA from 1 species